rnacentral:rRNA from 1 species
GAUGAACGCUGGCGGCGUGCCUAACACAUGCAAGUCGAACGGAGUCGUUUUGGAAAUCUCUUCGGAGAUGAAAUUCUCGACUUAGUGGCGGACGGGUGAGUAACGCGUGAGCAAUCUGCCUUUAAGAGGGGGAUAACAGUCGGAAACGGCUGCUAAUACCGCAUAAAGCAUCAAAUUCGCAUGUUUUUGAUGCCAAAGGAGCAAUCCGCUUUUAGAUGAGCUCGCGUCUGAUUAGCUGGUUGGCGGGGUAACGGCCCACCAAGGCGACGAUCAGUAGCCGGACUGAGAGGUUGAACGGCCACAUUGGGACUGAGACACGGCCCAGACUCCUACGGGAGGCAGCAGUGGGGAAUAUUGCGCAAUGGGGGAAACCCUGACGCAGCAACGCCGCGUGAUUGAGGAAGGCCUUCGGGUUGUAAAGAUCUUUAAUCAGGGACGAAACAAAUGACGGUAC